CGAUAGUUAAUCUCAAUCGAGUGCAUUUUCGUGCACAUUCGUAUCUGCGCAGUAUAAUCAUGCAUUGCGCAAUCAUGAAAUGUUUUAAUUUCUGUAUGUCAUAGUGUUUGGUUGAUAUAAAGUUGUUGGAACUCAUGUUCUACUAAUCAUUUUGUUAUUACCUUCUGUCAUGGAUUACAUAUUCAAAUUAAGGAAUAUAUACAAACUUACUGGAAAUAAUUAGCACGACUGUGAGGGUUAUAAAAUCAGAGUUUCUGUGGUACCUAAGGCCGCUGAAGACUUGAACUCGAGCGAUACAUUACCUAUAAAAGAUUUCGACAACAAUCUACUCCAGUGCCAUCACACGGUUAUGCUGUGAAAUAUGACGGACAGAUGGCAUACGUCCCGUUCUUCCUAAAACGGCCAAAUGAUUUGUGAUUUGUUGUCAUUCUGGUAAAGGGAAACAAUUCAUUACUCUUAUGUACGGAAUUAUGCGUUAACAACUUGAGCAGACAUCAUUCUGUCAAAAAGUGUUUUCAACGUGACUUCUCCAUGCCUAUCACUUAGAGAUAGUGAUGGAUGCUUUUGUGCACAUAUGGUUCCAUUUAACUGGAGGAGCCACGAUAUAAAGGUUACGUCAAGGACAAAGAAUGCAGCAUAUGAAAGUAAAUCUAUUUACCUAUAAAAAUUGUAUCCGAAUUCCUGGCCGGAUAAAGACUUGUAUUAAAACGAUACCACUUACUGAGGAACAGCACUGAAUUGAUAUACCAGACUUUCCUGUUGGCAUCACGCUAUUUGCGGAUUCCUACCCAGAAAAUAGACAACAACCUAUGGAUUGUCUUUCUCACAUUAUCAAAUGAGCAAAAAACAUUAGACGUAGACGCACUAGGUUUGCAUUAGCCAAUUAACUGUUCGAAAAUGAACUUGUCAGUUGCGUUUUGCAAACUGUCUCUUGAAAAAAACUAAAUGCAAGCAGACAAGUAAUGGCAAUUUGUGUCCUUUCAGCAUUCUUUUAUUUCAUUGCAUCCGAAGUGAAAUAUCGAAAAUGCACGUGAAUUAAGGUAGAGCUAAUUAAAAUAACAUUAGUGGCUUGGAAAAUGUACAGAAACUUGAUUUUAUGAAAUGUUCAAUCUACACAUCGGUGAGAAAAACAGACCGCCAAACGCCUGUUGGAAGAAAGAAGGAAAUGUAGGAAAUCUACAUUAAACAAAAUGGGGAGAACAUGUCUUUUGCAGAGGACUUACAAAGUUACACAAGCAUAUGGACAUCGUUCUCAAAUUUUAAAGCAUUAUCUGACUGCUCGAAUAGUUUAAUUUCUGUCCAAACGAUAGCGACGUAAACGGGGAAAAUUCAAUAAAAGUGUCCCUUUCUCGUCCGUAUCCUGUUCAGUGAAGUAUUUACGUACUUAUGCAAGUUGUCUGAGUUAUUUGCCCUGACAGAAUAUUAUAAGUAUAUUUUUGUGAUGUAUACGUGCAUCUUUACACCACUGUAGGGUUUUGGUUUGAUUGGCUGCGUUCUUUGGACAUGACAGCUUAUACUGGACAUUUCGACUUGUUUUACAAACAUAAAUAGAAAUAUACAUGCCUGUAUAUGUGAAAUAAAAGAAUGUAUGCAAGCUAAUUAUCUGUGAAUAUUAUCAAAGUAGUUAAGACCAUAUAAAUUGUAGACUCCUAGACACAAACUUAGAAAUAUGACAAACUUUUUAAGGAUGCCGGUUUGUUUGAAUAGCUGAACUAUUUUUAAGAGAGUAUAAUAAAGUAUCCAUGCUUGAUGCUUGUAUAUCAUUAUAUUUUCUUUGAAACUGAAGUUGGUUAAGAACGUGAAAGUUAUAUAAAGUAAAGGAAUACAUAUUGGGAGGCGAAUUGUUUGCGAAAUCUGUGCUCGAAUGUGGGCCAGAAUAUUUAUUUACUUUCUGCUUCUUGUGACUUUCUAAUGACCGUGCACUUACGUUCUUAAGAAUGAAUUUAUAAUACCCUAGCUUUAGCAAUAGUUUUGUCUACAUAUACCAUGUGUUCGCAGAUUUUAUUAAUUUUAUCAUUAGAUGCAUGAGAAUCCUGAGCCAACUCGUGUACUUUUUUCACCAAACCAGAACAAUAAAGGUUCGCAUUACUAGCAGUUAUUAAGACGGAUUGUCAAAGGUACGAUCAACGAUAGAAAAUAAAACAUGAUUUUGUUUUUCAAAUUAACGUCUAAUCAUCUGCGAAUAAUUCCACCCGUUAAUUUGUUAUAAAAAGGUGCAAUUAUCGCAUGCCAACCACCAAUGAGCUGUACACGAAUAAAAUGCAGACAUUAUUUUCUUAAAUAAAAAUCAAAAGUUGUUUACCUAAAACAUGAAUAAAAUUCAGGGUAGAUGUCAUUUCGGAGCCUAAGGCAUUUUGAAAGAAUAGAACAUCUGAUGUUUUAUUUCAGUAAUUUAAGCUAAUAAAUUUUAACAAGCCAUCAUGUGUUUGUGUGAUUCAUAGAAAUGGACGUGUUUUAAGAAAUGCACAGUGUCUUACUUAAUGUAAGAAGUUCUUGGAAAAGAUUUAAUGUGUCACACAUUUAAAAUUACGUUUAAUUGUUUGAAUUUUGCAAAAAUACACUUGUAAAAUCUUUAAAAUUUUGUUGCGUUGAAUUUGUAGUGAACGUUUGGUGUAAAAUAAAUGAAAGAAUAUUUCUAACAUAUCCAUAAAAUGUUAGUAUGUAAAAGACAUUGCUAUGCACGGUAUUGUGAAUAAAACUCCAGAUUUGUUCCGUUUUCUACCAUUUGAGCUAUAACGAUUCUAUUGCUAGAAUACAAUGCUUCAUCACCACGGAAAAGUUUGAGAAAUAGAUACAACGAAAGCUUCUUCCGCCGGACAACAUAUUUCCUGGUGAUGUCACGACCCGGAAGCGAUAUACCCGUGGUUUUCUUAUCUCGCCUGGAUGUAAAUUCCCAGAGCUGCGGGUCUACGUCCAGUGGUUGUGACUUAACCGUCAAGAUGUUAAUCUUUCUAAACGACUGAGAUCGCUCAGGGAUACAAAAACCGGAUACGGGGAACCAGAAUGGGGUCAACUUCUUCGCGAUUUGAUGGGACAUUAUUUUAUAUAGUGUUAAAUCCUUAACAUGCUAGUUAAUUGGAUCUUAAAUAUUUGUGGAACGUCACUAUGAAACUGGAUUAGAGAUCUCGGACUCAAACAUCUUUUAUUACAAACCAUUAGACAUUGAGCUCAACAUUUUCUCUUUUUUUUUCUUUUCAUAAAAAUAAUUGUAAAUAUUUAUUUUUGUAAAUAAACUUGUUAAUAUUGUAAUGAGUGUUAAAUUGUUCGUAUAAGUUCUGUCCAUGGUUCGACCAUCCUGUCACACAACUCCUUCUACACUAUAAGCCUGCUUUGCUUUAAACUUUCACAGAUAAACAACCUUGAUAUGCAAAUUACCACACAGAAAGGAUUUUUUCUUUGACGAUUUUUUACUGCAGUUAUGGCCCUUUUAUAGUUCUGCUAUAUAGAAUAUAGAGAAGAAUCUUGUGUAUCCAACUUUUCAAACAAUAUUGAAAGGAUAUGCUUAAAAUUGUCACAGAUGAAGGACCUUCAUGUGAAGAUGACCAUAAAUAAUGGACUUUUUCUGUUUCUAUGUUUUCUAGAAUUAUGGCCCUUUCUUAAUUAGAACUUUGCUGUUUAGAGGUUGGAGCUGUACGCGCGGGAAUCCGUGUGCUAUGGACACAAUUCUCGUUUUAUACUGCAUUGUAAAUCUUCACUCUGGUUAUAACUAUCUUUCACGAUAAACCUGUGUAUUUUGAAAGUAAAAAAAAAAACCUUGAUAUACACAAUAAUGAAUUACUUGAACAUACUUUUGUUAUCCAUAUCAAUAAAUGUGUAUUUGUGUAGACCAGUUUAGAAACUGACACAGGCCUAUAGAAGUCCUACUUUUCGGAGGAAAAUGUGUGACAUGGAAGGUUUGUGACGAUAAUUCAACUUUAACGAGCUGUUUAUGUAGUGGAAGUCUGCAGUGCUGCAUGUAUGCAGGCGGACACUGCCUAUAAUACCCACUGCCAAAAGGUGUGUGGUUACAGACUUUUUUGUGAGGUUUUGAAAGUUAGGUAGGCGACUCUAGGCCGAGAAGCUCAGAAAACUGUUUACUGCCUCCUGAGUUCAGAGAGAGAGAAAAUAUAGCUGCUCUGGUCCCAAUCAGUUAAAACGACCAAUAUGUCACGGGUGAUUUGAGAGACAUGAUAAAAACCCCAGAGAUUUGAGUAUAUAUGCAAAUGUUGAACCAUUACGAAUGUGUACGGUCUAGACUCUAUAAUAUAGACCGUAAUAAAACUUAAAUAUUGACACUGUACGCAUGUGUAGUACGAUUCAGAUGUGUACAUAAAGCAGCAUCGAAGGUCAGUGGACUUGCUGUGGAACGUGCAGGCUCGUUUGUACUGAUAGGCGCUUUCCCGUAAAUGAUCUGGUAUAUAUUAUUGUGGUAAUUAAUUAGUUCAUACUAAUUGUCUAACGAGUAAUGUGUACCAUUAUAUUUCGGAUAUUAUUGCAAAUAUUUUAUAAUGAGUUAGGGAAAUAAGUAUCUUAAACAAUAUUUAAAAAUACUGUUAUAAACAAUGUAACAAUGAUUUUCGUUUGUUAAUGUAAGAACCAUAGUUUCCAGAUUUACGUCAUGUAUUUUGUCUACUUGGAGCGGGGUGUUUAUAACCAGCUGGAAUGACCGCUGCAUUCAUGUUUUAAUGUAGGACACAGUUCUAGAGACAUACAUUUAAACAUAUCGUACUACCAACCGCGAUAUUGAACAAAAUAUUGGGAUAAAAUUUUUGUAGGGACUUUAAGACAGACGGUAUUAAAAAUUUUGUAACGCGAUCUGGAAAAUGGCUAUCAAUUUUAUGACAUUUUAUAAAUAUCUGUAUUUCUUAUUGUUCUCAACGUCAGCAUUUUAGUUGUUGAUAUACAUACAUCGAUGUCUGAAUAGACUGUCCAAUUUAAAUAAUAUAUUUUACAGUUACAUUGCAGGCCCGGUUCUCCAGGGCCAGGCCGA